rnacentral:rRNA from 1 species
UACUAGAGUAGCACUCGCAUAUCAAUAAGCGGAGGAAAAGAAACUAACAAGGAUUCCCCUAGUAACGGCGAGUGAAGCGGGAAGAGCUCAAAUUUGAAAUCUUCAAGGUUUGACCUUGACGAAUUGUAGUUUAAAGAAGUGUUUUCUGUUGAAGUUUUGGUAAAAGUUCUUUGGAAUAGGACAUCAUAGAGGGUGAGAAUCCCGUAUUUGACCAUUAUUUUCAGCUGUGUGAUACACUUUCAAAGAGUCGGAUUGUUUGGGAAUGCAGUCCAAAAUGGGUGGUAAAUUUCAUCUAAAGCUAAAUAUUGGCGAGAGACCGAUAGCGAACAAGUACCGUGAGGGAAAGAUGAAAAGAACUUUGAAAAGAGAGUUAAACAGUACGUGAAAUUGUCAAAAGGGAAGCGUUUGACACCAGUGUUGUUUUCUCGAAAAUCAAUUAAAAAGUGCUUGGAUUUUGUAUUGUAUUGACUUUAUCGGCUUUCUGCACUUUUUUCAUGUCUUUUUUAAUGCACUUUUCGUUUAACAAGUCAACAUCAAUUUCUUUUGUUGUAAAAGGGUUAUUGGAAGGUGGCUUUCUCUUCGGAGAAAGUGUUUAUAGCCUUUAACCUCUGCAAUCGGAGAGAUUGAGGUCUGCAGCGUAGAUCCUUCGGGGUUAGAUACAUUUGUGCUAAGUUAUAGUCUUUUAUAGACAACUUGUUGACUAUGAUUGAUCUUGUAGCUUACUCGCUUAUGCUAUUUUACCUACGCUUAGGAUGUUGAAGAUGUAGCACAUCAU